GUCUCCGCCAUUUGUACAAAGUUUGCAAGACAAAUGGAAGUCAACUUCUGCAAGUUUAUGUUUGAAAGCAGUUAUAUGGAGGAAGCCUGAUACUGUAGAAGAUGGAAGUUUUGUGCCUGAGAUACCAGUCUUUAACUGUGGAGAUAUUGAAGUGCCCAAGAUAGGACAAACCAGUGAUGACUUUCAAGACAUUUCGUCAGAACAGACUGUUCCUGCGUAUACCAGGCACUAAGGGUUGCUGAGCAAAGCUGUUGCAGAGGCUUCCUUGUGUGGCCCUGAGGGAAACAUGAUCUUCGUCCAUGAUGGUGAAAAGAUGGAGCGCUUGACAUUUGAAAUGACAGCAUACAAUGUCCUUAAUGGUGGACCAGGCCUACUGAUGAUCAACACCAUGCUGUACUCCUACAUGACUGACCUGAGGGCAUAAAACUCCAUGUAGACAUUCUUAGAUUUUCCAAGACCGAGGAAAUUUUUCGCAUUAAGGAGAUCCUGGACAGCCCAGACGAUGAGGGAUUUAAGUCGGUUAUCGACAAACAUGCUGACUGGAUUAUUGAUCAAGGCUUACUUCCUACAAAAACAAAAUUGGAGAAGAAAGAUAAAGUAGCUACAUACCUGCUGAAAAACAUACUUUACUACAGAUUCCACGCUGAAAUUACCCAAUUUGUUAAUGGACUGGAUAAAGUGGGUUCAUUGCACAAAGAGAUACUCCAUGCACCUGAAGCAUUUUCUAGUCUGUUUGUUCACCAAGCUGUUCAUCUAAAGUUUGACACAUUCAGAUUAUUGUAUGAAGUGAACUUCAGUCCAGAGGGUUCCAAUAACCAAAGGUUGGAGAAGGAUACAGUAUACUGCUUGGAGGCAUUCUUGAUUGAAUGUGAUGGCAAAGAAAGUGACAAAGCCUUGGCAGAUGUACUGAUGUUUUGGACAGGAGCAAGUUCUGUGCCUCUCAUGGGGUUUGGCAAAAAACUUGAAGUGGACUUUGUUACGGCUGAUAGAAAACUGCCUGUAGCCCAUACCUGUGGCAUGCUUUUGUGCCUGGGUUAGCUGAUCCUGAUUUAUUCAAGGAGGAUAUGGCGAAAGCUAUUAAGUGGAGUGGAGGAUUCCACUUAUGUUAAAUGCAUCGAAGUACAAUCAGUUCUGAAGCCAUCUAUUAGUUUACAAUCAAACGGUUGCAAUACUUGAACUCAAGAUUCUACCAACUGCUCUUGUUUCAGGCCAGUAUGCAACAUGUAAAUGUUAAGGUCAUCGGAUCACCACAAUACUAAAGUAAAGGAAUGGCACAUAGCACAUCAUAAAGCAUGUUAUAAUCCUCAUUAUAGUUAUGAAUGAACAUAUUUCUGUCUUUUCAUGCCGUAUGCUGUAAAUCUUACUAUUUUGUUUGGGCUGCAUUUAAAAUAGUCUUUGUUUGCCUUCCGACUCUACUUUUUAAAGUUGGUUAGGUAGGUAGGCAAUUCUUCUUUUUUUUCUGUUUUUCUUCUUUCAUGAAGAUUUUUUACUGUUGCCAGUAGAUGUAUGAUCAUUUCUUACAGAAUAUUUCUUCUGUAAAAAUAAGGCAAAUCUGUAUAGGUUGUAUAAAAGGAUGAAAUUAAAUGAUACAAUUAAAACUUUCUUACUUACUAUUUUGCUUACUAGAAAUAUAUGCUGCACUUGUCAUAUCGCAACUAAAAAAAAUGAUCAGCAUUGUCCAAUAAAAACUUUUGGGGCGCAACAUUUUAAGUGGGUAGGUAGGGAGACAGCAAACAAACAUGUUUUUAAUUUUGGCCUUGCUUUUGUUACAGAUAGGCUCACACACACACUAAAUUAAUUACCUUUAUGUUCUGUAGGAAUGCAAUUGAAAACUUUACUCUAUCCCAUACUGUAGAUAGAAUUGCAUACGUCAUGGAAAUAUUAUUUAUUGUGUGGCAUGAAAAUUGAGUUUGUUGUUACAUAUCACUAACACCUGGGAACCUUUUUAAAAGUCAAGGUUAAAGCUUUUGAGGCAGGAUAGCAUCAUUAUACCCCAACAAACAAAGUUUGAGAUAGGGUACAUGUAUAUAGGAGUUGCCUCAAUUGUUCAUCAGUCAGUCUGUUGGUCAGUUAGCAAAAAUUACGUUGAGUGAACUAUACUGGACAUUUCUUAAGAUACUGACUUAAAACUUCAUAUGCAGGAUCAUAAUUGAGUGGAGAUGUGCAUGAUACAAUUUGGUGUGGUUCAGCUUAUUCCUGGUAUAGUUGCCCUUGGAUUUAAAUGAAAUGACUAUAGAGCAAUUAUAUCAAUCUUGUGAACUGAGCUGAAAUCAGUAUAUUAGCAUAAGCCAUAUUGUGGGACAAACCUAUAUUACUUUUUUCAAAAGUUUGACUUUAAACUCUUGUAUAUAUUGGAGCACCAGCAAGUGUAUAUGUUCCUGCACAUGUUUGGUGUGGCUUUGUUUUUAGUAUAAUGUGGUGUUGCAGGGGUAUUAAUUGCAUUCACUGAUAUUUGAAUAUUUGCUCAAAAUGUCUAAAAUUACAUCUCUUUUUCUGGAUUAUUGUUCCAGUCACAGACAGUAAUGUCCUGUACAUUUGGUUUGGCUGUGAAACAUUCAAUAUAGCACCAAAAGCAAAAUAUCAGAUACAUAGGGUCGUAUCUUAGGCUUACAUAAGGGAGGAUAUUCAUUCUGUUUGACCAAUUGAACUACUAGUAACUUUAUGGGAUGUUGUGGGAAUAAAAUUUGCACAGGUUUUAUUAUGUCUCUCCUCUCAUGGUGGAGAAAUAUUGUUGGUUUCCUAGAUAUAUUUGUUUUUUUUUCCAUCUGUCAGUCCCCAUUUAGUUUGGAGGAAACUUGACAGGAUUCAUUAAUACUAAGCCUAGUUGUGCACAUUGUUGGCAUGUUCUUCUAGGUUUUUUUUUAGGAGUUGAGGCCCUUUUAUUUAGUUGAGUAUUGAAGGCUUGCCCAUGCUAUUUCUCAGCAACAUGUGGACCAGCUGUUGUACUGGAAUGGUUUUCUGCAGUAUUUCUUCAAAAAUUAAAAAAUUUAGAGGGUUGGUGGGGGAUGGAGGAGACAUAUGUUUCUGUAACAACACCUUCUACUUUCAUAUAAUUAAGAGUGAAACAUAUCGUGUAUGCAGAUGUGUGUUUUUAGAUGUACUUAUCAUAUGAUGAAAUGUUGUUCCUUGAUUAAAGUACAUGUAUGUUGGUGUUAUUACAAUUUUUUUAACAAUGACUUUUUUCAUAAACGAAUAUCUAUAGAGUGUUUUAUAAUAUCUGUAAUUUUGAUUAUACACUGUCUGUUGCUUGCCAAUCAGUCAGUCAGUGGGUCCACGUGUUUACUAAGUUGGUCUUCAUGAAAGUUUACAGCAGUAAUCUGUGGGAGAGCUGCAGCAUGUAUAUCGUUCCUAUUUGUUACAGCUUAGAGCACCAGAGCUAACAAUAGAACAAUCUACUAGUCAUGAAAUAUUAUGGCAUUCCUGUCUGAAUAUUAUGAUCAGAAGCAUUAUCUUUAUCAGUUUUAAAUUGUUGCCAUAUGAGCUGCACCAUGGGAAAACCAACGUGGUGGCUUUGCAACCAGCAU